rnacentral:rRNA from 1 species
GACGAACGCUGGCGGCGUGCUUAACACAUGCAAGUCGAGCGGUAAGGCCCUUUCGGGGGUACACGAGCGGCGAACGGGUGAGUAACACGUGGGUGACCUGCCCUCAGCUCUGGGAUAAGCCUGGGAAACUGGGUCUAAUACUGGAUAUGACUCCACGGUGCAUGUCGUGGGGUGGAAAGCCUUGUGCGGCUGAGGAUGGGCCCGCGGCCUAUCAGCUUGUUGGUGGGGUGAGGCCUACCAAGGCGACGACGGGUAGCCGGCCUGAGAGGAUGAUCAGCCACACUGGGACUGAGACACGGCCCAGACUCCUACGGGAGGCAGCAGUGGGGAAUCUUGGACAAUGGGCGCAAGCCUGAUCCAGCCAUGCCGCGUGGGUGAAGAAGGCCU